AACGAACGCUGGCGGCAUGCCUAACACAUGCAAGUCGAACGAGACCUUCGGGUCUAGUGGCGCACGGGUGCGUAACGCGUGGGAACCUGCCCUUAGGUUCGGAAUAACUCCCCGAAAGGGGUGCUAAUACCGGAUAAUGUCUUCGGACCAAAGAUUUAUCGCCUUUGGAUGGGCCCGCGUUGGAUUAGCUAGUUGGUAGGGUAAAAGCCUACCAAGGCGACGAUCCAUAGCUGGUCUGAGAGGAUGAUCAGCCACACUGGGACUGAGACACGGCCCAGACUCCUACGGGAGGCAGCAGUGGGGAAUAGUGGAAAAUGGGCGAAAGCAGGAUCCAGCAAUGCCGCGUGAGUGAUGAAGGCCUUAGGGUUGUAAAGCGCUUUUACCCGGGAUGAUAAUGACAGUACCGGGAGAAUAAGCUACGGCUAACUCCGUG
rnacentral:rRNA from 1 species